GACACAACAAAACAAACUACUUAUACAGAGAAUGCUGUUACAAUUCGCAUCUCCACAAGGAUGCUAAUUUCACGCAGACGAUAGUUACAUAACAGUUUGUAGCAGAUAGUCUGGCACUUUUGGGAUCACCAGCGUGGCGUGAAUGAAAGUUUUAGCAACGAAAAAAAGACACAUUAAGGCUUCACCAACAUCGUUCAUCAGAGCCAAACUUGAUCAAAUUUGUCUGGGUCGAACAUAGGCACAGUUCCAACAUGAGUAGAUGGAUUCUUCUUCUAGCAGUUCUGGUGGCAGUGAGUUGUUCUUCAGCAUCGGGUGCAAGACUUAGUCCCCGGCACAAGAGGAACGCCCUACAGCUGUGUCGUGCCCUCAACGUCUACACCCACAGGAGCUGCUGGGAUUACCUGGGCUACGGCUGUUUCUGUGGACUCAGGAGUGAGGGCGACAGGCCGGUGGACAGCGUAGA